CUACGGGUUGCUGCAGUGGGGAAUAUUGCACAAUGGGCGCAAGCCUGAUGCAGCCAUGCCGCGUGUAUGAAGAAGGCCUUCGGGUUGUAAAGUACUUUCAGCGGGGAGGAAGGGAGUAAAGUUAAUGCCUUUGCUCAUUGACGUUACCCGCAGAAGAAGCACCGGCUAACUCCGUGCCAGCAGCCGCGGUAAUACGGAGGGUGCAAGCGUUAAUCGGAAUUACUGGGCGUAAAGCGCACGCAGGCGGUUUGUUAAGUCAGAUGUGAAAUCCCCGGGCUCAACCUGGGAACUGCAUCUGAUACUGGCAAGCUUGAGUCUCGUAGAGGGGGGUAGAAUUCCAGGUGUAGCGGUGAUAUGCGUAGAGAUCUGGAGGAAUACCGGUGGCGAAGGCGGCCCCCUGGACGAAGACUGACGCUCAGGUGCGAAAGCGUGGGGAGCAAACAGGAUUAGAUACCCGAGUAGUC
rnacentral:rRNA from 1 species